AACGAACGCUGGCGGCAGGUCUUAGGCAUGCAAGUCGAACGGAUGACAGAAGAGCUUGCUCUUCUAAAGUCAGUGGCGCACGAGUGAGUAACGCGUGGGAAACUGCCCUUCACUGGGGAAUAACGUUUGGAAACGAACGCUAAUACCGCAUACGCCCGCAAGGGGAAAGAUUUAUCGGUGAUGGAUGUGCCCGCGUCUGAUUAUUUUGUUGGUGGGGUAAUGGCCUACCAAAGCAAUGAUCCAUAGCUGGUCUGAGAGGACGAUCAGCCACGCUGGAACUGAGACACGGUCCAGACUCCUACGGGAGGCAGCAGCUAAGAAUAUUGGGCAAUGGAGGAAACUCUGACCCAGCCAUGCCGCGUGAAUGAAGAAGCCUUCGGGUUGUAAAGUCUUUUAUCGUGAAGAUGAUGACAGUAGCGAUGAAAAGCACCGGCUAACUUCGUGCCAGCAGCCGCGGUAAUACGAAGGGUGCAGCGUUCUUCGGAUCUACUGGGCGUAAAGCGUCGGUAGUGUUUGUAGUCAGGGUGAAAUCCCAGGACCAACCCUGGAACUGCCUUGAUACUGCCAGCUGGGACCCGAUUAAAGAAAAUAGAAUAUCUGCGUGAGGGUGAAAUCCGGUGAAUCCAAUAAAACCACGCAGGGAUCUGGACUCUGCCUGAACUGAGAGAAACGGGGUACAAAUAUAUCCUGGUACUGC
rnacentral:rRNA from 1 species